UUUUCCUUUUUUCGUCGGUAGUUAACUGCAGCCGGUUCAUUAUUUCGGUAGUUAACUGCUGAGGAGGCAU
rnacentral:pre_miRNA from 1 species